GCAGCGCUGGAGCUGCGCGGCGUGACGCGCAUGUUCGGCGCGCUGGCGGCGCUGACCGACGUCACCAUCACCGUUCGGCCCGGCGAGCGGCGCGCC
rnacentral:tRNA from 1 species